AUCAUGGCUCAGAACGAACGUUGGCGGCGUGGAUGAGGCAUGCAAGUCGCACGUGAAAGUCGCAAGAUGAGUAAAGUGGCGGACGGGCGAGUAACACGUAAUCAAGCUGCCCUUGAGACAGGAAUAACUUCGGGAAACCGAAGCUAAUACCUGAUGGUCUUGCUGGAUCGCAUGGUCUAGCAAGUAAAUGGUGGGGUCCUCCGGGACCUGCUGCUCAGGGAGGUGAUUGCGGCCCAUCAGUUAGUUGGCGGGGUAAUGGCCCACCAAGACUACGACGGGUAGCCGGCCUUAGAGGGUGGUCGGCCGCACUGGGACUGAGACACUGCCCAGACUCCUACGGGAGGCUGCAGUCGAGAAUCUUCCGCAAUGGGCGAAAGCCUGACGGAGCGACGCCGCGUGGAGGAUUAAGGCCUUCGGGUUGUAAACUCCUGUCACGGGUUAUGAACGGCGUAGUGUUAAUAGCGCUACGAUUGACGUAAGCCCGAGAGGAAGCACUGGCUAACUCUGUGCCAGCAGCCGCGGUAAUACAGAGAGUGCGAACGUUGUUCGGAAUUACUGGGCUUAAAGCGCACGUAGGCGGUGCCGCAAGUGUUGGGUAAAAUCCCACGGCUUACCCGUGGAACUGCCUGGCAAACUGCGGUGCUAGAGGAUGGUAGGGGAGAGCGGAACUCCUG
rnacentral:rRNA from 1 species